rnacentral:tRNA from 1 species
GCGAGUGUAGUACAGUGGCAGUACGGUUGCUUCCCAAGCAACAGACGAGGGUCCGAUUCCCUUCACUCGCU